rnacentral:rRNA from 1 species
AUUGAACGCUGGCGGCAGGCCUAACACAUGCAAGUCGAACGGCAGCGGGGGAUAGCUUGCUAUCCUGCCGGUGAGUGGCGGACGGGUGAGUAAUGCAUGGGGAGCUGCCCAAUCGAGGGGGAUAACAACUGGAAACGGUUGCUAAUACCGCAUACGCCCUGCGGGGGAAAGGUGGGGACCUACUGGCCUACCGCGAUUGGAUGCACCAAUGUGGGAUUAGCUGGUUGGUGAGGUAACGGCUCACCAAGGCGACGAUCUCUAGCUGGUCUGAGAGGAUGACCAGCCACACUGGAACUGAGACACGGUCCAGACUCCUACGGGAGGCAGCAGUGGGGAAUAUUGCACAAUGGGGGAAACCCUGAUGCAGCCAUGCCGCGUGUGUGAAGAAGGCCUUCGGGUUGUAAAGCACUUUCAGUGGGGAGGAAGGGGAGUAAGCCAAUAACUUGCUUCAUUGACGUUACCCACAGAAGAAGCACCGGCUAACUCCGUGCCAGCCGCCGCCGUAACAC